UACGGAGGAUGCGAGCGUUAUCCGGAUUUAUUGGGUUUAAAGGGUGCGUAGGCGGGUUUUUAAGUCAGCGGUAAAAUGUCCGGGCUCAACCCGGGCCGGCCGUUGAAACUGGGGAUCUUGAGUGGGCGAGAAGUAUGCGGAAUGCGUGGUGUAGCGGUGAAAUGCAUAGAUAUCACGCAGAACUCCGAUUGCGAAGGCAGCAUACCGGCGCCCGACUGACGCUGAGGCACGAAAGCGUGGGGAUCGAACAGG
rnacentral:rRNA from 1 species